rnacentral:snoRNA from 1 species
UGCUACAAUGAUGACUAUUUAUUUGCUACUCUUGACUGCCAGAAUGACGAGAGUACUUACCACCAUUAUCUUGACUGAGGCA